rnacentral:misc_RNA from 1 species
GGGUUCACAGAGUAGUAUGUAGAGUGGAUUGGGAACUGCUGGCGAAGGUCGCGUGGCCUUGGGUGGAAUUAUAAAAUUCGAUUUCGAGCCGUCUGCCGGGUUUUCCACAUUUUAUCGAGAUCAAACAAUCGCUUCGUGAGCUUUCAAGGAUUUCGUCUUAACGGGGUCCAAUGAUGCUCUGAAUGGCUUCAGUCACAUUUCGCUCGAAGUCCUGACCGUCCUGAAUCUACAGCCUUCGAUUAUCGCUUAAGACGACUUCCAUGGGAUUUAUUGAGGAUGAAUUGCAAGAGGUUUCCAAACUUUGUCACAAUGUGGUCGAAGGUAGCCGAAUCGUUUCUUGCUUCCAAACUAUGGUCCGGAUCGAAAUAACAAAGACGUCAUUUAAGAAAAUCAUUGUAUGUGCUCAAUUUCCGGAAGAUUAUCCCAAAACUCCGUUGCUGAUUGAAUUGAAGAGUAAAACUCUGUCUGAAAAUCUGCUGGCUGGCUUGACCAAUGUGUGCGAACAGGAGUGUAAAAAAAUCUUGGGAAAAGCUCAGGUCCUGCCUGUUUUGAAGUUUGUCAGAAAUUUUAUCCACGAAAAUUCACUCUGCUGUUGUUACGACGAAAUAUCUGCAUUGAAAAAGCUUCUUGGAGAACGCGACAAACUGCAGUUGAAACAGAAAAGUUCCUAUAUCAACUUGAAGGUUUAUCAAGGACUUUAUUAUUUUAAGACAAAAAUAUUGGUCCCUGACAAUUAUCCUGAAAUUUCGGUUAGUUUGGAAGAGAUCGACACUAACUUCCCACCUGUUUUCACCCGUCAUUUAGUUGGGCAGGGCAGAGAACUCGGCAGAAGAUGUGUCGAACCUCCGUUAAAGAAGCUCCCUAAUCAACCGAUGUUCAAACCUUCGCCCUCUCUCUGCAAAGUUGUAUCUUUUCUCAUAAGAUCUGCCAAGACUCUUCCAAACCAGCAUUGUCAGCUCUGCAGAGAUGCUUGUCUUCCUCAGAAUCCGGAGGAUGCGGUAAUCGACGAGACGGCAGAUUUGCACGUCGAGAGGCUGUACUGCAGCCACUUGUUCCAUCAGCAAUGCCUCAUAACGUAUAUGAAAACUCCUCCAUUUCACGGAGGGAAAAAGUGUCCUGGUUGCGGUCAAAGAGUUUAUCAUGAUAAGUGGGCUGUCAGUGAACGACUAGCGGAAGACCGUUGGGCACACGAACAGGCCCGAGUUCGUGAACUGGCAGAGGUUGCUGAUUUCUUUGAAUAAGUUCGAAUUUAUUUCGAUUAUAAUACGCCAUGAAUGUAUCAUUGCGACAAAGUGUCAAUCUUAGAUGACAAGAACUUAUGUACGGUGUCUCUCAGGCAUGGAUUUGGUUAUUGGAAGGAUAAAAAGAAAGAGAAGACUUAAAGGUAUAAGUACAACAAUAACAAUAAUAGGGAAUAACUUGUAAUAGUUGGAUAAUUAUUUUAACUAAUAACGAAUAGAGCUGACAUAUUUAGGUGUGUGCGUUAGUAUAUUUGUCGAUCAAUUAUUGUCAUUACUUUCUUCCUACGUUGAUGGAAAAUGGCACGAGAAUCUGUCUUGAUUACACGAAUACACAUGUCGCCCUGAUUGAAUCUGUUGAAACGAAUCGGCAAGAAAUAAAAUGUUCUUUUCGAUUCAAGUGUGAUCAAUUGGGUCUCGAAAAUUUGGUGUUUGGGAAGGAAUAUUUUACAAAUCUAAUAAGAAAAGAAAGAACACAUAUUUUUGCCUCCUUAAAUUAAACAAUAAUAUUAAUAAUAACAAUGAUUAAUCAAUUUUGUACAGUUCGUGAUUCAUUGAAUAAAACAGACUGAUGUUGUUUCUACGCA